rnacentral:miRNA from 1 species
UAUUAGAUUGGUGCAAAAGUAAUUGCAGUUUUUGCAAUUACUUUUAAUGAAAAACACCACAAUUACUUUUGCACCAACUUACAUAUU